AUACACUGUAAAGAGGGAGGGGGAAAGAGAGACAGAGCUUGGGAGUAUGGGAGAUGGGACGAAGUGAUUGCACCACAGCAGUUGUUGAUGAGAGGUGAGAGUUGGACCAGGAAAGAACAGCAACAAGGGCAGACCUCUCCUUCUAUCCUCACCAGCAGCAAAGGCUGGUACCCAAUGGUUUGUCCAGCGCGAAUUACACAGCUUUGAGGAACAGUACAGCAGCAGUGACCGACUAAGGCGGACUAUGAUGGAGCCAUUACUGGACUCACCAUCAUUUUUGUCUCGGCUGAAAUAAUAGGGUGCAGCAUGGGGCUUCAUUUAAAUGUUGCACUGUACACAGCAAUUAUGGGAAAUAAAUGGUUGACAAAGAGAAGAUAGUUAUACGUGUUUUAAGCAUGAAUUAAGUGUGUCCAUGUGUCCUACCCUAUGAUUCUCUAAAGUAAUUGGACCAAAGGCUCUUCAAUGUGAUUUUGCAUUGUGAUUUAUAGCAACACAAUGAAUAGAUAUGUGUGUGGAAUAAUUUACCCUUUGUACAACCUUCCAGUUUUAGAAGUGUCACACCUGUGUACAGUAAUACGCGUUGAGACCUGUGUGUAACAAGAAUUAAUACAUACUGAGCUGGUGGCAUGCGAAUAGGUAAGUAUAGGGCACCUGUUCAGGCAUGUUCAGCUCUGCGCUGUAACUUAUUGACGUGAGACAAACACGGGGAGAUGCAGAAUCACAAGGCUGACAGCUCUCUUGUAUUGUCACAACAGAGAAAAAUGGAGAUAAUUGUUUCCCUACAGAAUUCCCCUCGCAAAUGUAAAGAGAUUGACCCCACAGGUCAUUUCCAUUAUAUAAAUUAAAUGCAGCUUAGUUGCAUAUCUGUAGCGUGUGACAAGCCAAUGGAGCUGUCAUGACCUGCAAAACAAGACGCUUCUUAAAAUAACCGUCCCCGAUACCCAAAUGCAGCAUUCCUUCAUGAGCUUUGAAGUGCAGCAACAUCUCAGCUCAGGAUGAUGUUGCAAAGUUUUCAGUCAUGAUGCAUAUAAACUUAAAAGAAAAUGAUAUUCUGACUGUGUGUAAAUCAACUGAGCAACUGUGCACAGCAGCUGAGUAGCAGAUGAAUUUGUGAGCUGUGACAAGUCGCACUGUUGAAAGAGGCAUCCAGAGUUUCCCUACAAUGAUUAAUUCAGCAAUUCAAGGUCAGGGGGCUUUUAUUUUGGAGAUGAUAGCAAGUAUUGCAUGCAGCACAUAUUUCCAGCUGCGUUCACAAUAUUAUAGGCCCCUAAAAGUGAGCUCAUUAUGUCUCCUCCUACUCCCACAUUACACCAGCCACACACACACACACACACACACACACACACAAUGCCAGAGCAGAUUAGGAGGAUGGUUAUGCUCCAACCUUAUCACAGAGUCUUCAGCUUGCAGGGUCAAUGGGCCCCGUAACCAGGAAAGCCUUCAUUCUUUUCCACCUACCUAUGCAUGUCACAUGCACUGUGAUACCAUAUCAAACAAUAAAUGGAUAAAACUGAGUUUUAAGAUAUAGUGCUGUGAGUAAAUGUGGGAAAUGGAGAUUUGUAUGAAAAACGUCUCUCAUGCUACUAAGUAAAAGUGUUUGGAAUCUCAUUUAAUGAUGUUAUAUGUUGAGCGUAUGAUAAUCUGUCACCAGAAAAAAUAAAGCUUUUAUGACAAUCAAUGUCAAUCAAGUUUAAAUGUCAUAUUCAUGAGGUGGUCGUACCAUGCAAUAAAGACACAGCCUGCUCAAAACAAGUGGUGGGUAAUGGAAGAAAUAAAUAUUUAUGGGAUGUGGAUGAGCAAUAAUUCAAAAUGUCUAAAAAUACUUUUAUUUGUUACAAUCCUUUUUCACUUGCUGUUUUUAGAGUGGGAUAAAAGCCUUAGAUGUUAAUAUUUUAUGGCUAUAGCUGGCUGGAAAUCUGCAGCAUCUUACUAAAUACACAUACAAAUCUUCAAAACUAUUUUUGGACACAUUCCAGGGCCCUGGAUACAUUUGAGUCAUUUCAGAAAGUGCAAAUACAUAUUGUAAUGCAACAAUCUAUGUCAUAUGAAUGGGAUCAGCUCAAUAAAAGAAUAUGCAAGGAAAUUUCAGAUAUUUAAUUUUAGGGCUCCUUAAAUUCAUGAGCAUCAAUUUCCAUCCUUGUUGCAGCACUAAAGGCUCCCAUUUAGACUCCAUUAAAAAUACAUUUUCCUCUAUACUCCAGCUGCCAAGGUUAUGCAAAUGCCUGUGCUCCAGGAGCAAUAGUUUGCCAGCCGUACAAACCCGCUGAGCAGUGCCCACAACCUCAUAAUCUAUUAACAUCUAAGGAGGUUGAUUGUUCGGUUGACCUAAUGUCUCAUUUGGAUGCACAUAAUAGUAUCUGAAUGCGAUCCAAACCUAACAGGGUCCUUCACUAGAAGCUGGCCUUUGGUCUAAGAUAAGGCCUCAUGGCUGCCAAGAGGAGACAAAAUCAAACUUAUGAGCAAUAAAUAUUCGACUUGCAAGAUUCAGGUAAACGUGCCUUUCUCCGAAUCCAAACCCGUCAACUUUUGACAGAGGACUGUUUACUAGACAAUAUAAAACAUCAUCAUUGUAUAAAGCAAAGUCAGUUCCACAGAAUGUACAUGUAUAAAUAUAUUUAUACAGCUCUAUACACACACACACACACAGACACACACACACACACACACACACACACACACUAAUGUCUGUCUCUCUCUCUUUCUCCUCGGCUAGUAUUCCAUCUCCUUCAUCUGAGGCAGUAAUGAGUGUCUGCUAUUCUGUUCUUCAACAUCGACGCCCUAUUCAUGCUCAAUCUCCUUUACAAUGCACUAACGGGAUUACCCAAUUAGCUGCUACUGGAUGCCAUUAAGAACAUGUGUCUGUGUGUGUGUGUGUGUGUGUGUGUGUGUGUGUGUGCGAGCGUGCAUGGUCAGUAGAGUAAUGUGUUAGCAGUGAAAGUGAAAGAUUGAUGACUGUCUGUACCUAACACUUCAUUUCCAGUUGAUGUUCUGCUGGAGGCCACAUUACUCAUUCCCACAACUCAGUCACAAUGAGUAAGACACAAGAUAGGCAAGUAUGUGUGCAUCUGCGGAGACGUGGGCGCGUCCACGUGUGCGUGGGAGUGGGUGUACACAUCUGUGACAGAACACAGAAAAUGACAGAGAAAAAGACAAAGUAUUACUUUUUAAUUACUCUAUAAUUUAAACGAUCAAUCAGACUAAUUUGUGACUUGCAUUGCUUUGUGUCGUCCGUAGAGAUGCCUGCUUUAUUACAUGUGAAUCAUCAGUUACUUAGUGUAAGCAACAAAUCAAUCACAGGUUUCUAAUGUGUUACAUCACACUGGGGGCAAUGUGUUCAGCGCGCAAUUAGAGGAUCGAACAGCAGGAUGAGGAUUGAUUUUGAAGGAUGUCUCCUCCAAAACUGAGCUGCAAUUUUUAAAAUCUUAUUUUUGGUGAAUAUUAACUAAGAGGUAUCUGGAGAGACAAACAUCAGCCAUUUACUCACUAAAUAGUUUUCUCACGUGUUAAAGAGCAAACAUGGAUAUUGUGGAAAUGUAAAUUUGAUAGCCUUUGUACUUAAUUAGUUGCACAUACCUUGAAUCCUAAUUGUCACACACCCCUUUUAACAUUCAAACACAAUGCACUGGCUGUGUGCUUUUAUCUACAUUAUCUUACAA
ensembl:lncRNA